rnacentral:rRNA from 1 species
UACGAAGGGGGCUAGCGUUGCUCGGAAUCACUGGGCGUAAAGGGUGCGUAGGCGGGUCUUUUAAGUCAGGGGUGAAAUCCUGGAGCUCAACUCCAGAACUGCCUUUGAUACUGAGGAUCUUGAGUUCGGGAGAGGUGAGUGGAACUGCGAGUGUAGAGGUGAAAUUCGUAGAUAUUCGCAAGAACACCAGUGGCGAAGGCGGCUCACUGGCCCGAUACUGACGCUGAGCACGAAAGCGUGGGGAGCAAACAGGG